rnacentral:rRNA from 1 species
UAACCUGCCUUGGAGUGGGGGAUAACAAGGUGGAAACAUCUGCUAAUACCGCAUGAUGCAGUUGGGUCGCAUGGCUCUGACUGCCAAAGAUUUAUCGCUCUGAGAUGGACUCGCGUCUGAUUAGCUGGUUGGCGGGGUAACGGCCCACCAAGGCGACGAUCAGUAGCCGGACUGAGAGGUUGGCCGGCCACAUUGGGACUGAGACACGGCCCAG